AGGAUGAGAACAUUGGGGCUGCUCAACCUGGAGAAGAGAAGCUGUGUGGACACAUCAGAGCAGCUUCCAUGUCUGAAAGGGGCUACAGGGAUGUUGCAGAGGGACUACUCAUCAGGGACUGUAGUGACAGGACAAGGGGUGAUGGGUUCGAACUGAAACAGGGGAAACUGAGCUGAGCUCUUAGGCAGAAGCUCUUCCCUGUGAGGGUGCUGAGGCGCUGGCACAGGGUGCCCAGAGAAGCUGUGGCUGCCCCAUCCCUGGCAGUGCUCAAGGCCAGGUUGGACACAGGGGCUUGGAGCAAGGUGCUCCAGUGGAAGGUGUCCCUGCCCGUGGCAGGGGU